rnacentral:rRNA from 1 species
GAUUAACGCUCGCGGCGUGCAUAACACAUGCAAGUCGAACGAUGAAACUUAAAUGAUUUCUUCGGAAUGAACUUAAGUGGAUUAGUGGCGGACGGGUGAGUAACGCGUGAGUAACCUGCCUUACACAAGGGGAUAGCCGUUGGAAACGACGAAUAAUACCCUAUGAAACUAUCACUUCGCAUGAAGCGAUAGUCAAAGUGUUAGCGGUGUAAGAUGGACUUGCGUCUGAUUAGCUAGUUGGUGAGAAAAAAGCCCACCAAGGCAACGAUCAGUAGCCGGCUUGAGAGAGUGUACGGCCACAUUGGGACUGAGACACGGCCCAGACUCCUACGGGAGGCAGCAGUGGGGAAUUUUGCACAAUGGGGGAAACCCUGAUGCAGCGACGCCGCGUGAUUUAGAAGGCCUUCGGGUUGUAAAAAUCUUUUGUAUAGGAAGAAAAUGACAGUACUAUACGAAUAAGGUCCGGCUAAUUACGUG